rnacentral:rRNA from 1 species
UACGGAGGGUGCGAGCGUUGUCCGGAAUCAUUGGGCGUAAAGGGCGCGUAGGUGGCUUGUUAAGCGAGCGGUGAAAGCCUGGGGCUCAACCUCGGGUCGGCCGUGCGAACUGGGGGGCUGGAGCACUGUAGAGGCAGGCGGAAUUCCGGGUGUAGCGGUGGAAUGCGUAGAGAUUCGGAAGAACACCGGUGGCGAAGGCGGCCUGCUGGGCAGUUACUGACACUGAGGCGCGACAGCGUGGGGAGCAAACAGG